UAUGAGUGUUGAAAUAAGAGUUGGGCAUAAGUGGACAUGCCUUCCUUCCUUUGAGAAGCUGAUUAUCUAAUUAGUAUACUUUGGUUGUGAACUUUUUUCUCUUAAUGUAGAUUUUCAAAGUUUUGAUAUGCAAUGUCCUCAUCACAUGCUUCAUCAUCUUCGAACACCCCUCCAAAAUGUUUAUGCGGGGAGAUGGCACGUCUAAAAUUGUCGAACACCCCUAGAAAUCCAAGGCAACCUUUUUAUUCGUGUCCCAAUUACAAUAGAGAGGGAAGGCCAUAUUGCGAAUAUUUUUUAUGGGCAGAUAUCGAAGUGGAAAAUGAAGCUAAAGUUUCGAGCGAAAUAGAACAUCACCUCGAAGAGAAAAAAGAACAACUCUAAAAAUGGGAGGAAGAACUCCAAAAAAGGGAAGAAGAACUCGCCUCCGAUCGGGAUGAGCUUCAUGCUGUAAUAAACAAUGAUAACAAUCCAUGCAUGCGACUGUGCGUGUAUUGGGGACUUGCAAUUCUAUUAUUUUGUUGUUGGAUAGGAUCAAGAACAAUUGAAGAGUAAGUAAAGUAUAACAAAAAGUGUAAUGUUGUUAAGCUGGUUAUAAUUGAUUCGUUUGUCACCUUUUUGAAUGCGUGUACAAGGGACAAACCCAGCAGUUAUGUAUGAAACUCGUCAGAUUUUGUGUUAUCUAAUGUGAACGUCGCACUAUGUAUUUUGGAUUA